rnacentral:sRNA from 1 species
AUGGUCCAUGCGUGCAUUCCGGUUCUGAACGCGCCGUCCACACCCACCUGACGACUGCGCGCUGCGUUUUGUGAGCC